GACGAACGCUGGCGGCGUGCUUAACACAUGCAAGUCGAACGGUAAGGCCCUUCGGGGUACACGAGUGGCGAACGGGUGAGUAACACGUGGGUGGUCUGCCCUGCACUUCGGGAUAAGCCUGGGAAACUGGGUCUAAUACCGGAUAGGACUCCGGACUGCAUGGUCUGGGGUGGAAAGCUUUUGCGGUGUGGGAUGGGCCCGCGGCCUAUCAGCUUGUUGGUGGGGUGAUGGCCUACCAAGGCGACGACGGGUAGCCGGCCUGAGAGGGUGACCGGCCACACUGGGACUGAGAGACGGCCCAGACUCCUACGGGAGGCAGCAGUGGGGAAUAUUGCGCAAUGGGCGCAAGCCUGAUGCAGCGACGCCGCGUGAGGGAUGACGGCCUUCGGGUUGUAAACCUCUUUCAGCAUCGACGAAGCGAAAGUGACGGUAGGUGCAGAAGAAGGACCGGCCAACUACGUGCCAGCCGCCGCGGUAA
rnacentral:rRNA from 1 species